GAGAAUGGCGUAAGAACAAGUGAACAAGAGACAACAAAAAAAUACACUAAAGAAAAAUAUUAACUCCACGUCAAAAUGAAUCUACGACAUUUUUUACAAAAGUGAAAAUUUCCAUCAAACCCACCCCAUAAUUGAGUAGCCUUUAGACCAAUCAUAACACAAACACCAGCUAGCAGAUCUACAACUUUCUCAAAUUAGUUUGACUGUAAAAUAAGAAACCAAUGCAGGUACGAGCCAAAAUAUCAUAACUAUACAAGAUCUGUAAUGAAACUCCAAUGAACUUUCUCAAAUACAUCAAAUGCUAACCAUGAUCAGCAUCCGAAACACAAUAGAAAUUUAUCCUCAAGUACAUUUGCUUCCAAACUCUUCUCCAGCCGCUUGAAACCAACACUAACAACUCUGCCUUAAACUGAAUCAAUCUAUUAAUCCAGCCAUAAUCUCAAAACAAAGGACAAAUCAUUCCAAUAACAGCUUCCUCAUAGCUGGCAAUGAGCCUAAACACCUCUACCAACCGAAAAAGAAACUGAAUAUUGAACAUGCCAAAAUCAUAUGUAGCCAAACAUAUUAAGCUUAGCACUUCAUUUGCGAGUCUUCCUUAUAUGAUUUUAGUAUAAUUAUGAGCCGCCGUCAUUCAAUAUCACCCUCCUUCACAAGUACUGCUAUGCCAGCUAUGGCUGUUUCAUCCACAGCAGAGAAAAACAUGCCAAUAAACGGUAACCAAAAACCAUGGGGAUUAAAGCAACACCUCCAUUCAAACCACUUUCAAUUCUGAUCCCAUUUAUGCUAGGUGUAAUGUACUCAUAUUGCAGUUUUGGCAUAAGCAUGUAUAGACGUCUGGUAGUUGAAAGAUUGGUACUGAAUCCAAGAUAGGAAUAUAGGGGCGUUCUGUCAAAUUUAGUAAGCAUGUGUCAAUUACUCAAUCAAUAUCAUUAUUAGUGGGACACCAAAAGUUAAACAAUUUUACCUUUACUAAGAAACCCCCAGUCAAGAUGAAAGUCGUGACAGUGAGUGAAGCCAAAGUUGUUGCCCUUUUCAAGUCCAUUAGAUUAGUGUUGCCCCAAAUAGCAAGUCCAAGUCCCUACAAUCAUCAUCAGUAAUUACAACUUAGCACUCAUUAAAGGCCUAAGUUUAUGUUACUUACAAGCUGUAUUGUAAAUUACUACAACAAUGUAUACCGAGUCUCAAACCAGCCUUGGAAGAGCACUGGUAAUACAGGUCUAAUGAAAGGUCAAUUGUGGUUCUAGCCAUAAAAGAAUGUACUUAAUCUGUACAUAUCUGUUGCUCUUUCCUCGUUCAACAUUGCUCUUUCUUGAGGAAAUGUGAAUAUUGCAGUGAACACGAGAAAAACAAUCCCAAAAACACCUCAAUAAAGAAUAGCAAUCCAGCCUACAAUCCAAAAAGGUCAAGGCAGAGAGAUAAGUAAAGUCUGAUCAAUAACUUUUAUGUUGAAAGUGUUUACAGUAAAGUCUGAUCAAUAACUUUUAAGUUGAUAGUGUUUACAGUAAAGUCUGAUCAAUAACUUUCAAGUUGAUAGUGUUUACCUAGUCUUAAAGACCCUUUGGGUUGCUAGCAUCAGACUGCCGCCAAAGUAAUCCCAGAAGGAUUGUAGUGGAAAGAACUUGGUAAUUCUCAACCAGCUAAAAUAGUCAUGCCUACAUUCUUUGAAUCCUCUAGAAAACAAUAUUGAAUAUUGUUCUGACCAACUUGUCUUCACUAUCUUUUACGUGAACAAGAGAAAUUGGAACCAGUAGUUUUUUUGCUAUAGGUGCUUUGUUAGUCUGCGUAAUAUGUGUAUUAUUAAUUUUUGUCUUUUUGUAGUCAGUACAAAAAAUAAUUUUUACCAGGACUAAAAGCAAAUUGUAGUAUAUUUGUAGAGAUAAAAAACAUAUUUAUAAAUUGAUCAUGUGAAUUUAUUUACCUCCUGUACAACUACAGCUGAUGGUUUCCCAUUCGAUGUUUCAGCUUCUGCAUGGUACAGAAAUAUCAAUCGUAUUUCCAUUUGCAAGAUCCAAUAAAAACUCUGUUCAUGGUAAUGAGAGGUGAACACCCCUAUAAACUUGUGAAAGAGUCUGCUUGAUGAUUGACGAAUUAUUUACCUCCUGUACAACUACAGCUGAUGGUUUCCCAUUCGAUGUUUCAGCUUCUGCAUGGUAAAGAAAUAUUAAUCAUAUUUCCAUUUGCAAGAUCCAAUAAAAACUCUGUUCAUGGUAAUGAGAUGUCCCUAUAAACUUGUGAAAGAGUCUGCUUGAUGAUUGGUGGAUUGUUGCCACUAUAGUUUACCCAGCCUGAUAUAAUACAACACAAAAAGUUAAGAUGUCUCAAAGGAUAAAGUGGGGAAAAAAACCACAGCUAUGUCGUGUAGCAUCUUCUUAACAAUACUCAAGGCUUGUAGAAUCCAAACUAGAUGUUUGUUCAUCAAGAAAUAGAAGAAAAGGAUUGAUUAUGAUAUCAUAGUGUCUUAACACAUGUUUUCAUAUAAUUAAGCAUACAAAAUAUUUGACGGUAUAUCUAAAUUUCGAUUAUUGAAUAUAUAAAACACAAGACUUUCAAACAACUAACCUGAGGAAUACAUCGUUGGGGUUUGGAUAAUUUAGAUUGAGGAGGAGGUGAAGGAAUCCCUAGGUAUGAGUUCAACCGAUUUUGGAGGCUUAUUGUUGAAAGCCGAGAUUCAAGUUCUAUAAUUGAUGUUAAGGGCUUCAGCAAAGAAUUGUUUCUAGUAUGAUGAAAUCACCGCUGGGUUUUCUUUUCCCUUCUACCCUCUGUCGGCAUGUAGUGAGCGAACCAAAAUACACAUUGCUGAUCUAUUUGGAAUAAACCUGUCCAACUGUUGCAAAAAAUAUAUCCUAAAUUGAGAAAUUCUGAAUUGAUAAAAUCAAAUCAAACUAAAAAAUAAAUAAAUAUUCAUUCUAAAUCAAUAAAAACAGUAAAAGUGAGGGAAAUCACUUACGUUGUCAUGAUCCUGUGAAGAAUUCUUCCGAUGAAACUUGCAACCGUGUGACAUAAGCAUCUUCAAUUAUAUUAGGAAAUGUUACUUUGUUUUACUCAAUAUUAUUUUUUGUUUAACAUUUUGUUUAGUUGAGAAAAAUGGAGUUAAAUCAUUUACAAUAUUUUCUGUUUCAUACAUUUUAAAAGGCAGAGAUACUUGUUAUCAGCUAUCACACCUAACACAAAGAGUGCAGGGAAAAAAUCAAACCCAAAAUAGUUAAUACAAAAAUACACUAAAGAAAAAUAUUAACUCCGCGUCAAUCAAUGAAUCUACGAAAUCUUCUACAAAACUGAAAAUUUCCAUCAAACCUGCCCCAUAAUCGAGUAGGCUUUAGACCACUCAUAACACAAACACCAGCUAGCAGAUCCACAACAUUCUCAAAUUUGUUUCAGUAAAAUAUGAAAGCAAUGCAGGUACGAGCCAAAAUAUCAUAAGUACACAAGAUAUGUCCAAUGAAUACUCUAAUUACAACAAUGCUAACCACUAUCAGCAUCAGAAACACAAUAGAACUUAUCCUCAAGUAAAUUUGCCUCCAAACUCUUCUCCAGGCGCUUGAAACCAACAUUAACAACUCUGCCUUAAACUGAUAGAUGCAAACCACAGCUAUGUCAUGUAGCAUCUGAACAAUCUCCAAGGCUGAUGUAGAAUCCAAACUAAUAGAAGAGAAGGAUUGAUUAUGAUCUCAUUGCCAAUACAAACUCUUUCCUCUCUCCACCAGACACUCCUUGACACAUGUUCUCAUACAAUUAAGAAUACAGGCGACGGAGGACAAAGGGAAAAGAAAAUCCAGAGGUGAUUACACCAUACCAGAAAAAACUCGCAGAAGCCGUUAACAUCA
rnacentral:lncRNA from 1 species